rnacentral:rRNA from 1 species
UACGGAGGGGACUAGCGUUGUUCGGAAUUACUGGGCGUAAAGCGCACGUAGGCGGAUUUGUAAGUCAGGGGUGAAAUCCCGGGGCUCAACCUCGGAACUGCCUUUGAUACUGCAAAUCUCGAGUCCGGAAGAGGUGAGUGGAAUUCCUAGUGUAGAGGUGAAAUUCGUAGAUAUUCGGAAGAACACCAGUGGCGAAGGCGGCUCGCUGGACAAGUAUUGACGCUGAGGUGCGAAAGCGUGGGGAGCAAACAGG